rnacentral:rRNA from 1 species
UACGAAGGGGGCUAGCGUUGUUCGGAAUUACUGGGCGUAAAGCGCACGUAGGCGGAUAUUUAAGUCAGGGGUGAAAUCCCAGAGCUCAACUCUGGAACUGCCUUUGAUACUGGGUAUCUUGAGUAUGGAAGAGGUAAGUGGAAUUGCGAGUGUAGAGGUGAAAUUCGUAGAUAUUCGCAGGAACACCAGUGGCGAAGGCGGCUUACUGGUCCAUAACUGACGCUGAGGUGCGAAAGCGUGGGGAG